AAACUAGCUGGUGGGUUACUUCUAGCUCACCCAGUAAGAGGGUACGCCCCGUGUAGGCUGAGGCCUUUUCAGCGGCCGGGGUUCAAGUCCAACCUGCGUCCCUUUGCUGUGUGUUGUCCCCCAUCUCUCUCCCACCUUUGCUGUCUAUCCAAUGUCAUUCUGAAUA